rnacentral:rRNA from 1 species
GGUUAAAAAGCUCGUAGUUGGAUUUCUGUGGCGGGCAGCCGGUCCACACUACGUGUGAGUAUCUGGUUCGGCCGCUGCAUCCUUCUGGAGAACUUGAGGCGCUUCACUGCGUCUUGCGGUAUCCAGAACUUUUACUUUGAGGAAAUUAGGGUGUUCACGGCAGGCGCUAGCCAUGAAUAUAUUAGCAUGGGAUAAUAAUAUAGGAUGCUUUGCCUAUUUUGUUGGUUUCUAGGCGAAGCAUAAUGAUUAGUAGGGACUGUUGGGGGCACUCGUAUUAUGACGUCAGAGGUGGAAUUCUUGGAUUGUCUUAAGACGAACUACUGCGAAAGCAUUUGCCAAGGAUGUUUUCAUUGAUCAAGAACGAAAGUAAGGGGAUCGAAGACGCUUAGAUACCGUCGUAGUCUUUACCAUAAACUAUGCCAACCAGAGAUAGGAGGUCGUUCCUUGUAUGGCUCCUUCUGCACCUUAUGAGAAAUCACAAGUUUUUGGGCUCCGGGGGGAGUAUGGUCGCAAGGCUGCAACUUAAAGGAAUUGACGGAAGGGCACCACCAGGAGUGGAGCCUGCGGCUUAAUUUGACUCAACACGGGAAAACUCACCAGGUCCAGACAUAGUAAGGAUUGACAGAUUGAUAGCUCUUUCU